AUAUAUACAGAAACAUGUAGUUUAUCUCAAUAUACUUACAAGUGCAGCAGCAAGAACGCCAGGUCUGCAUCUGUUUUGCACGCUUCUCAAUCGUUCAG